GGCGGGAGCGGAGAGGGCCGUGGCCUUUGCCCUUGCUGCGCAGGCGCUUUGCUCUCUGCACUUCCGACGGAGGUGCCGGGCGCAGCCAUGUUGUAUUGAGGUGCGGGCAGCAACUCUUCAGCACACUGUUCGUGGACUUGGGGUGUUGGUGUGGCAGUUCUGUACCGGAAACUCUUAAGGCCUCUGCAUAUGGCUCCCUAGAGCGACAGCCCACCAGGCUCCCCCGUCCCUGGGAUUCUCCAAGCAAGAACUCUGGAGUGGGUUGCCAUUUCCUUCUUCAAUGCAUGAAAGGGAAAAGUGAAAGUGAAGUUGCUCAGUCAUGUCUGACUCUUCGCGACCCCAUGGACUGCAGCCCACCAGGCUCCUCUGCCCAUGGGAUUUUCCAGGUCACCCUUCCCCCGAGGAGUGAUCACUGGGAAGGCACCUGCCUCUGCAGCCGAUUCCCACCCUGCUUUAGUUCAGUAUGAGCCCAGAGCUGGUUGGGUCGGGAAUAGGCGAAGCCCCCCUUCCCGCAGCAUCUAGCGGGCAGCAUCGGAGAUGGGGGGGAAGAAGGGGCAGCGGCUGGAGGUCCAAGGGAAGCAACGCCCUCCUUUGCGCUGCGUUGGUGGCCCCUCCAGCCCUGGGUGUGGCCUUGUCGGGGCAGGUUUCUCCGGAGCUGCUGAACCCCGCCACUUUGAAAUGAGGGGGGACUCUUGCUGGCGUCCCCAGCACGUCAAGGGGCGAAAUGUUACUGAAAAUACUAACAAAAUUCCCUUGGCUGUUAAAAC
ensembl:lncRNA